rnacentral:rRNA from 1 species
UACGUAGGGCGCAAGCGUUGUCCGGAAUUAUUGGGCGUAAAGAGCUCGUAGGCGGUUUGUCGCGUCUGCUGUGAAAACCUGAGGCUCAACCUCGGGCUUGCAGUGGGUACGGGCAGACUAGAGUGCGGUAGGGGGUGACUGGAAUUCCUGGUGUAGCGGUGGAGUGCGCAGAUAUCAGGAGGAACACCGAUGGCGAAGGCAGGUCACUGGGCCGCAACUGACGC